UGUAGGGUUACAGAACAAUCAUGUCUAAAUGAGAGUUUCCAUGUACCACCCUAUUGCACUAGUGUGGUAUAUUUGUUACAAUUCAUGAAAGAACAUUUUUAUAAUUGUACUAUUAACUAUUGUCUAUUAAAGGGCUCACUGUGUGUACAGUCCUAUGGCUUUUUUUUAAAAAUUUUUGUUCUUGUAACAUAUAUAUAUAAAACAUACGUCUAACCUACAGUUCUUAAGAAUCUCCACAUCUCUCUCCCUGCUGCCACAAGACCAGCUGUGACCCCCGUGGAGGCUGCGCUGUAGUGCAGGUCCAAAAGAGAAGACCCAAAGCCAACUCAUGUGGGCCUGGAAUGUGGGUUGUGUAGAACUCCAAUAUAAGAAACAUGUACAAAAGAGGCUGUAACAUAAAAGGCUUCUGAAAGAUCUCCAUGUGCAAAUGGCUCCCCAGUCAGACAUUUGAAGAGUAAAAGGUUGAAGGGGCUGCUGCCCAAGCCUGCAUUUCAUGAAUAUUUAGAAUUAAGAAAUGGAUCUCCUUAUCACAUUCUGUGAUGCUCAACAGGGGCUACCGUCCUGGUCAGCACAGCAGCUCCAAAGAAUGGGGAUCAAAGCUGAGCAGCCAGAACCCUCAAAACUGAAUGUGUGGAGCAUUCUUCUCCUGAGCAGGGCAAGACCCCGAUCGCCGGUGCUGGGGUCAGCAACUGGCAGAGAAAAAACAUUCUUCUCAAGAGCUGUAAUGAGAUCACUGAAGAGUGCCGUCUUCUGGGAUUUGGAAUUAAUGACACCAGGCCUUGCCAACACAGUGCCUUUGGGUCUUGGGAGCUCAUAAAGCAAGCUUCCUGCCAAGGGAUAUGCAAGCCAGGAGAAUGCUUUGGCCGAGGAUUGAACCUAUGUACAUGCAGGUGAAUGUUUAACAACCCACUGGGGUGGGGAUUAGCUUAUUUCAUUGGGGUAAAUACUCCCACUGUAUCCCAGAGGUCACAGAACGCAGAGCCGGGAGGGGGUGCAGCCACCACCAUUAUAUAUUGUCUGUACACACAAGUGCGACAGCCACCUGGAGCCACCAGAGCAGAGAUAAGAGUAAAGUGUUGUAAAAGCC